rnacentral:rRNA from 1 species
GACGAACGCUGGCGGCGUGCUUAACACGUGCAAGUCGAACGGAAAGGCCCUGCUUUUGUGGGGUGCUCGAGUGGCGAACGGGUGAGUAACACGUGAGUAACCUGCCCUUGACUUUGGGAUAACUUCAGGAAACUGGGGCUAAUACCGGAUAGGAGCUCCUGCUGCAUGGUGGGGGUUGGAAAGUUUCGGCGGUUGGGGAUGGACUCGCGGCUUAUCAGCUUGUUGGUGGGGUAGUGGCUUACCAAGGCUUUGACGGGUAGCCGGCCUGAGAGGGUGACCGGCCACAUUGGGACUGAGAUACGGCCCAGACUCCUACGGGAGGCAGCAGUGGGGAAUAUUGCACAAUGGGCGGAAGCCUGAUGCAGCAACGCCGCGUGCGGGAUGACGGCCUUCGGGUUGUAAACCGCCUUCGCCUGUGACGAAGCGUGAGUGACGGUAAUGGGUAAAGAAGCACCGGCUAACUACGUG